rnacentral:snoRNA from 1 species
AAGACUAUGCUUUCAGGGAUCAUUUCUAUAGUUUCUGACUUGGAAGUUUGAUUUGAAAGUGUAACGUCUCUCUAACCACGAUGACGAGUUAAGAUGCUUUCUUCUGAGCGUGAAUCGGGUGGUGAGCGACGAGCGAGAUUGUCUGCUCUCUGUCAUUGAUGAACGUUCCUGCUGUGUUUUGCAGUCUGGAAGAAGAAAGCAUGUUCAGAGUGGUU